GAGAUAAAGCUGGAGCUGAAAGAGUGAAACAGUCCCUAAAAUCUUGAGGCAAUGAAGGCUGCAGGACGACUCUGUACAAGGGAACUGAUUUUAAAUUCUCUUAAAUAUGAUAUCAAAUCAAUGGAGAAAAUGAUACCCACAUUAAUCAUGACUAUGAUCCAUGGUAUGUGUUAAAUUGCUGACCCUUAUUCUGUGAGUUUUCUUUCUCAUAAAGGAGCUGUGAGUACACGGAUUGAAGUCUUACAAGUCCACCCAAAUGUUCCUUGCAUGCUCUUUGCGCCAAUAUGCCCACAUUCACUGUCAGAUCUGUUAUACUUCCUGAUUCUGCACAACUUGAGUUGAAGAUUCCAAAGGAUGCAUGGAGUAAAGCUUGGGUAUCAUUUGAUGGGAAAAGGCAGCAGCUCUCUAGAGGAGAUUCGGUUUGCAUAUGCAUGAGCUGUUGGUUGCACAAUUUAGUUCGAUGCCUGAAUUGGAAUGAAAGGUUAGCUCAGAAGAAGUUGUGAUUGUAGUGGCUCAACAUGUCAAGGAGCUGUUCAUAUAUUUGUACAAAAUCCUAGAAGUUACGGGUAAAGGGAAAGAUGAGCUCCAAAAAUUCAGGGACGUCACAAAAAUUGCUAUGCUACUGCGGACUAGAGACUUCUUUCUGAGGUCACGACAGACCCACUGCUACGGUCGCCACUUUUACAGAUGCCCCCAAAAACUCACAGAAUGGUGUGACUUCUUCCGAUGGGCUAAUGAUCAGGUCGAUUUCACUGCUGAAAGUGAUAACGAAUUGAUAGCAUCAUUGGAGGACAGUUUAGAACGAGACAUCCAUCGCCUUUAUGUUAAAAAUAAUAUCAUCAUUAUUUUACUUGUAAUUUUAUUAAUUUUUUUUUUUGUAGCACUUUUGGUACUCAUUGUUAAGUGAGUGGCGUAUUAUGUUUUGAAAUGAGUUUCUGUUUCUGAAAUAUUAAAUAUAUGGGUGUCACAGUUUUGUUACAAACAAAUUUACUGAAUAGAGGCAGAAUAGUCAAUUUUCCAGAAACAGUUGCCCCACAGUUGCAACAAACAGACAGACAGCUUCCCCACAGUAGCUUUCUCGCAGCAGCAUCCUGAAGCAGUGCAGCUACGGUUGAAAAACCGAGAAACUACAUCUGCGCCAAACUGAGCCUAUGUUUAUCUUUAGUGUUAUCUAUUGGUUAUAGCUUUCUACUGCUGAAUGCUUCUCAUGGUGAAAUGGUCUUCAAAGAUCUCGUCUUGGCUGGCUCUGUUCUGCGCACAAAUGAAGCAGCAUUUUGACGAGACAUAAAACACUGCCCACAGUUUUGACAGCCUUGCUGAUCUACAUUUUUUAUUCAAUGCAAACCUUCCUGCGCUUCUUUAUAACGCAGAUGGUGAAAAACUUCAAUGGGAAGCUGUAAGACAUGCAGUUGCUAGCAACAUUUGCGAAGCACAUGUAAUGGGACGAUGACAUUGAUCUGCUCUAUAAGGAUGAUCGUAUCCUAUAUUGUGUGGAGUUGAAGUAGUCUACAAUUUUGUUUCAUUGAAGACUAAUAUCGUGGCUAUCUUCAUUGUUGCGGAUUUGCUACAUUUUAAUAAUUCGUUUUGUAUCGCUCUUUAUGCAAUUAAGAUACUAUAAUUUUUUUUUAUCUCAUCAUACAAUUAUGUUAUCCAAGAUUGUGGAGAGUUUAUUGUUUGUCGACAAUUUCUAAGUUUGUUUAAAAUGGUGAUCUACGUACAAAUCCAAGAAUGUCUAUUCGUUUGUAAGCACCGAUCUCUUGAAAUUGGCUUUGUUGAAGUUUUGA